rnacentral:rRNA from 1 species
CAGUAGCCGCGGUAAAACGAAGGGUGCAAGCGUUAAUCGGAAUUACUGGGCGUAAAGCGUGCGUAGGCGGUGAGUUAAGUCUGCUGUGAAAUCCCCGGGCUCAACCUGGGAAUGGCAGUGGAUACUGGCUCGCUAGAGUGUGUCAGAGGAUGGUGGAAUUCCCGGUGUAGCGGUGAAAUGCGUAGAGAUCGGGAGGAACAUCAAUGGCGAAGGCGGCCAUCUGGGACAACACUGACGCUGAGGCACGAAAGCGUGGGGAGCAAACAGGAUUAGAUACCCCGGUAGUCCCUGUCUCUUAUAA